GUGGAUGCAGUUCCCUACGUCCCGUAGUUGUUUUCUGCGCAAAAUCCUCCGAAACCGAGAUACACAGAGUUGUACCAGAGCUACCCACCACAACCCGACAUCCCAUGACCGGACCACCUUCUCCCCAGCGCUGCAGCCGAAGCAAAAAGGGCUCAAGCAGCCGAGGCUCUGCCCGGCAGCGAGACCACUGAAAGUUGGAGCCCCCUGGCGGAAAGGGAAGCCGACGGGAAGGCGAGAAGGAACAACUCCCCCGGACCAUCUGUGGAGUUGACCGAAUCUCUGCCUUUGGUCCCGUAGGGUCAUCGGGUAGUGCGCAAACAAAAAGCGCAUGUAGUUGAAUCCUCCAGUCUGUCUGCUUCUUCUCCCGACCCCAAGCGCCAAGAGGUGGGAACGGACCCAUCGACUACUUCAACAGGGAUGGUUACCAUUGACAUGGCGGGUACCUUGCAAUCAGCUGGUGUGAGCCCACCGCUGGCAACGAGCACCGUGGUUGAAGUACCACAGGCCUUAAGAGUAAAGAAAGCGGUCAUGAAGAAAUCAUCACUGUCUGUAACCGACAUGAGGCACAAGCCAAAGCCUGCUGCAGCUGCCCCAGCCCCCGAGCCACCAGCCCCAAAGGAGCCCGUACCCGAGGAGCCAGCCCACGAGGAGGACACAACAUUGCCCGACCUGCCACCCCAUGAGCCCCAGCAAGCCGAAGCCAGAGCUGGUGGUGAAGAAUAAGUCGAGACCACUGACACCGCUCCUGCAGAUGGCACAAGUACCCAACAACCAUCAACUGAAGAUGCUGCAAGGACCACAAGGAGCACUGACAAGCUGCAAAUGUCUGGGAGGGGAUACCAAAAUAUCAUCACCAUAGAUCUAGUGGAUGAUCUGAUCUUGACGGACAACAACAUCCGAUACUUCAAGAAGAUCUCCAAACAGAUGUACAAUUUUACCCUGGAGCUCGCUGCAAAAGAAAAAUGCAUAUCCGAAGAGCAGACAAAGAACAUUUAUAUUCAGAGAGAGCUCGACAAGCUGAAGCUAGAGUGGACGCGAGAGACAUGGCUCCUCAAGAACGAUCUCCGCAAUCUCGAGAAGGCCAACUCCGAACUCCAAGAGCAACUCAAAGAACAGAAGAAGG